GAGUUUGAUCCUGGCUCAGAUUGAACGCUGGCGGAAUGCUUUACACAUGCWAGUCGAACGGCAGCAUAGAGAGCUUGCUCUCUGAUGGCGAGUGGCGAACGGGUGAGUWAUAUAUCGGAACGUGCCUAGUAAUGGGGAAUAACUAGCUGAWAGGUUAGCUAAUGCCGCAUACGACCUACGGGUGAAAGCAGGGGAUCUUCGGACCUUGCGUUAUUAGAGCGGCCGAUAUCUGAUUAGCUUGUUGGUGGGGUAAUGGCCUACCAAGGCGACGAUCAGUAGCUGGUCUGAGAGGACGAUCAGCCACACUGGAACUGAGACACGGUCCAGACUCCUACGGGAGGCAGCAGUGGGGAAUUUUGGACAAUGGGGGCWACCCUGAUCCAGCCAUUCCGCGUGAGUGAAGAAGGCCUUCGGGUUGUAAAGCUCUUUCGCAAGAGAAGAAAACUUGCUAUCUAAUAAAUAGUAAGUAUGACGGUAUCUUGACAAGAAGCACCGGCUAACUACGUGCCAGCAGCCGCGGUAAUACGUAGGGUGCAAGCGUUAAUCGGAAUUACUGGGCGUAAAGCGUGCGCAGGCAGUUUUAUAAGUCAGAUGUGAAAUCCCCGAGCUCAACUUGGGAACUGCGUAUGAAACUAUAAGACUAGAGUGUGUCAGAGGGGGGUAGAAUUCCAAGUGUAGCAGUGAAAUGCGUAAAGAUUUGGAGGAAUACCAAUGGCGAAGGCAGCCCCCUGGGAUAACACUGACGCUCAUGCUCGAUAGCGUGGGGA
rnacentral:rRNA from 1 species